UGGGUAACCUGCCCAAGAGACUGGGAUAACACCUGGAAACAGAUGCUAAUACCGGAUAACAACACUAGACGCAUGUCUAGNGUUUAAAAGAUGGUUCUGCUAUCACUCUUGGAUGGACCUGCGGUGCAUUAGCUAGUUGGUAAGGUAACGGCUUACCAAGGCAAUGAUGCAUAGCCGAGUUGAGAGACUGAUCGGCCACAUUGGGACUGAGACACGGCCCAAACUCCUACGGAAGGCAGCAG
rnacentral:rRNA from 1 species